UACAGAGGGGGCAAGCGUUGUCCGGAUUUACUGGGCGUACAGCGCGCGCAGGCGGUUGCGUAUGUGAGCGGUGACAUCCGCGGGCUCAACCCGCGGCGGCCCGCUUACACAGCGCGACUGGAGGCAGGGAGAGGGAUGUGGAAUACCCGGUGGAGCGGUGAAAUGCGUAGAGAUCGGGUGGAACACCAGCGGCGAAGUCGGCAUCCUGGCCCUGUACUGACGCUGAGGCGCGAUAGCGUGGGGAGCAAACGGG
rnacentral:rRNA from 1 species